rnacentral:lncRNA from 1 species
UGUCUGUGUUUGUUGACAGUUAUGGAACAGGGAAGAUCCCUGACAAGGAGAUUCUCCAGAUUGUGAAGGAGACCUUUGAUUUCAGGCCUGGCAUGAUCUCCAUCAACCUUGAUCUCAAGAGAGGUGGGAACAGGUUCUUGAAGACUGCUGCUUAUGGACAUUUUGGCAGGGAUGACACUGAUUUCACAUGGGAGGUUGUCAAGCCCCUCAAGUGGGAGAAACCUACUGCCUAAGUGGUUCCAAAUUCCAAUCCUCUCAGAAGGGUGUUUUGCAUGUUGUGCCUAUAGGCUUCAAAG